UAUCUCUCUAUAUAACUAAAAGUCGUUUAUCAAUUUAUCAUCUGUAUGCUUAUAUCAUUUUAUCUUGAUAAAGUUCAUUGUUGAAAAGUUACGGUAGAAUUUUAAAAGUAUAUAAACUUUUGAAUACAAUUUUUUUUUGUCUCAAUUAAUUUUAAAUUCCUUCAAAAAGAGGGUUUAGUAAUUAAAUUUAUGAGGGGUCGGUAUAUACAAAUAUGUAUAUGUACAAAAGAAUUUUCAAGAAAAAG
rnacentral:misc_RNA from 1 species